rnacentral:rRNA from 1 species
AUUCCAAUCGAACUCGGAGAUAGCUGGUUCUCCCCGAAAUAGCUUUAGGGCUAGCGUUAGUUUAGAUUACCGGAGGUAAAGCACUGAAUGGUUUAGGGGCUGAUAAAGUUACCGACGCCUAUCAAACUCUGAAUGCCGGAUAAUUGAUGACUAGCAGUCAGACAGUGUGAGAUAAGUUUCAUUGUCAAAAGGGAAACAGCCCAGACCUACAGCUAAGGUCCCAAAUGUAUGCUAAGUGGAAAACGAUGUGGAAUUGCGAAAACAACCAGGAUGUUGGCUUAGAAGCAGCCACACAUUAAAAGAGUGCGUAAUAGCUCACUGGUCGAGUGACUCUGCGCGGAAAAUGUAACGGGGCUAAGCAUGCAACCGAAGCUUAGGAUUGUCUAAAGACAGUGGUAGGGGAGCGUUCUGUAUGGGGUGAAGUCGCAGCGAGAGCAGCGGUGGACUGUACAGAAGUGAGAAUGCCGGAAUGAGUAGCGAGAAUUAUGUGGGAAUCAUAAUGGCCGAAAAUCUAAGGUUUCUUGGGGAAGGUUCGUCCGCCCAAGGUAAGUCGGGAGCUAAGCUCAGGCCGCGAGGCGUAGGCAAUGCACAUACGGUAGAAAUUCCGUAACCACCGAACUUUAAGCAUGAGGGACACUUUGAGAUAGCGGAACCCGGGCGUUGGUUGACCCGGGCGAAAGGGACCGAAAUAUAGUAGGGAAGUCCGCGAUGCUUGGAGGCGAGAAAAGCUCAUGUGUAUACUAAGGUGCCCGUACCGCAAACCGACACAGGUAGAUGAGGAGAGAAUCCUAAGGCCAACGGGAGAAGGGUUGUUAAGGAACUCGGCAAGAUGACCCCGUAACUUCGGAAGAAGGGGAGCCUCGAAAGAGGCCGCAGUGAAUAGGCCCAAGCAACUGUUUACCAAAAACACAGGUUUAUGCUAAAUCGAAAGAUGACGUAUAUGAGCUGACGCCUGCCCGGUGCCGGAAGGUUAAGAGGAGAUGUCAACCGCAAGGUGAAGCAUUGAAUUGAAGCCCCGGUAAACGGCGGCCGUAACUAUAACGGUCCUAAGGUAGCGAAAUUCCUUGUCAGGUAAGUUCUGACCCGCACGAAAGGCGUAAUGAUUUGGGCACUGUCUCAACAGCCCGCCCGGCGAAAUUGUAGUACUGGUGAAGAUGCCAGUUACCCGCAACUAGACGGAAAGACCCCAUGGAGCUUUACUGCAGCUUAAUACUGGAAUUCGGUAAAUCAUGUACAGGAUAGGUGGGAGACAGGGAAGCAUUGGCGUCAGCCAGUGUGGAGUCGCUGGUGGGAUACCACUCUUGAUUUGCUGGGUUUCUAACCUGCGGCCGUGAAUCCGGUCGGGGGACACUGUUAGGCGGGCAGUUUGACUGGGGCGGUCGCCUCCAAAAGAGUAACGGAGGCGCUCAAAGGUUGGCUCAGCACGGACGGAAAUCGUGCAAUGAGUGUAAACGUAUAAGCCAGCCUAACUGCGAGACCGACGGGUCGAGCAGUAACGAAAGUUGGAGUUAGUGAUCCGGUGGUAUGUGAGUGGAAAUGCCAUCGCUCAACGGAUAAAAGCUACCCUGGGGAUAACAGGCUGAUCUCCCCCAAGCGUCCACAGCGACGGGGAGGUUUGGCACCUCGAUGUCGGCUCGUCGCAUCCUGGGGCUGAAUUCGGUCCCAAGGGUUUGGCUGUUCGCCAAUUAAAGCGGCACGCGAGCUGGGUUCAGAACGUCGUGAGACAGUUCGGUCCCUAUCCGUCGCGGGCGUAGGAAAUUUGAGAGGAUCUGCUCCUAGUACGAGAGGACCAGAGUGGACUUACCGCUGGUGUACCAGUUGUUCUGCCAAGAGCAUCGCUGGGUAGCUAUGUAGGGAAGGGAUAAACGCUGAAAGCAUCUAAGUGUGAAGCCCACCUCAAGAUGAGAUUUCCCAUGAUUUUAUAUCAGUAAGAGCCCUGAGAGAUGAUCAGGUUGAUAGGUUAGAAGUGGAAGUGUGGUGACACAUGUAGCGGACUAAUACUAAUAGCUCGAGGACUUAUCCAA